AUUAUAAUUUAUAACAUUUCAAUUUUUAUUCCUAACAAAAGUGUAAAUGUCUAAAAUACAAUUCUACCUAAAUUAUGCAUUCAUCCUUUUAUUCAUUUAUUAUGUCAUUCAUAUUAAUCACAAUUUAUAACAAUUAUUUUCAUGUGUAAUUGUACUCAAAGCAUUUUUCCUUAUCCUUUCUCCAAUAAAUGAGAACUAGUCUCAUUCAUAUUUAUUCAUUUAUUCAUUACACUAUGUAUAUAAAUUAUCAUUCAUAUUUUAAGUAAUCCAUGAGCAUUUCAUGGAUUUCAAAUUUAACUAAAUUUUCCUUAAAUCCUAGAGUCACUCAACUUUAAGAAUUUAAAUUCAUUAAUCACAUUAUCUAUAUUAACCAUUCUAAUAGUUUUUCUAAGUUAGUAUACCAUUUCCUAUAUCAUUAGGGUUACUAUUUAUAUUACUAUUUAUUCAACAUGUUGAAUUUUUCAUAUAUAAUAGGUAUAUUAAUUCUAAUUGCACUAAGACCCCACAUUUUGGGUCCUAAAUUUGUUGGCAUUGAUUGCCAAUUGCAAUUCAAAGCCUCCUAAAAGUAUUUCCAAAUUUUCAGUUUUUAUGUCCUAUGUUUACUGUUGUAUUUGUCUAUACUAAAGUGAGAAUUUGGCUAAACUUUCUUCAUGAAAGUUGUUUUUUUUUUUUAUGUAUCUAGUUUAAUUUCCUUUUUUAAUCACUCCAUUUGGA
rnacentral:misc_RNA from 1 species